GAUGAACGCUAGCGACAGGCUUAACACAUGCAAGUCGAGGGGCAGCACAGGUAGCAAUACCGGGUGGCGACCGGCGCACGGGUGAGUAACGCGUAUGCAACUUACCUAUCAGAGGGGGAUAACCCGGCGAAAGUCGGACUAAUACCGCAUGAAGCAGGGGUCCCGCAUGGGGAUAUUUGCUAAAGAUUCAUCGCUGAUAGAUAGGCAUGCGUUCCAUUAGGCAGUUGGCGGGGUAACGGCCCACCAAACCGACGAUGGAUAGGGGUUCUGAGAGGAAGGUCCCCCAAAUUGGUACUGAGACACGGACCAAACUCCUACGGGAGGCAGCAGUGAGGAAUAUUGGUCAAUGGCCGAGAGGCUGAACCAGCCAAGUCGCGUGAGGGAUGAAGGUUCUAUGGAUCGUAAACCUCUUUUAUAAGGGAAUAAAGUGCGGGACGUGUCCCGUUUUGUAUGUACCUGAUGAAUAAGGAUCGGCUAACUCCGUG
rnacentral:rRNA from 1 species